AAAAAUCUAUAUGAAAAAAUUGUAUAUAUAAAUAAAAUUUUAUAAUUUAUUGAAUUUAAUUUAAAUUUAUUUUACAUGUAAAUUUUAGUGUUAAUUUUUAAUUAUUUUGAUAAUAAUUAUUAUAUUUGCAGUAAUUAAAAUUAAAAAUUUAAGAAAUUAAGAUUUAGUAAUAUUUAAAUUUAUUAACAAAUUUUGUGCCAGCAGUUGCGGUUAUACAAAAAAUGAUUUAAAUUUUAUCAGUAUAUAAUAAAUAAAAUUAUUAUUUAAAUUAAAUAUUAAGUUAUUAGGUGAAAUUUUAAUUUAAUUAAAAUUUAUAUAAAUUUUAUGAUUUAUUAAAUUUUAUAAAAAACUAGGAUUAGAUACCCUAUUAUUAAAAAUUAAAUUUAUAAUACUAAAAUAGUAGGUAAUUAUUUAUUGAAACUUAAAUAAUUUGGCGGUAUUUUAGUUCAUUUAGAGGAAUCUGUUUAAUAAUUGAUAAUCCACGAAUAAAUUUACUUAAUUUAUUAUUUUGUAUAUCGUUGUUAGAAAAAUAUUUUUUAAUAAAAAUAAUAUUUUAAAAUUUUUAUUUAAAAUUAAUUCAGAUCAAGAUGCAGAUUAUAAUUAAGAAUAUAAUGGAUUACAAUAAAUAAAUUUAAAUGAAUAAUAUUUUUUAAUAAAUAUUUGAAGGUGGAUUUAAAUGUAAUUUUAAUUAAUUUAUUUAAAUGAUUUUAUAUUAAAAUAUGUACAUAUUGCCCGUCGCUUUCAUUAAUAAAUUGGAAUAAGUCGUAACAAAGUAGAGGUACUGGAAAGUGUUUCUAGAAAGAA
rnacentral:ncRNA from 1 species